UACGUAGGGUGCGAGCGUUGUCCGGAAUUAUUGGGCGUAAAGGGCUCGUAGGCGGUCCAUCGCGUCGGGAGUGAAAAGCUGGGGCUUAACCCCAGUCCUGCUUUCGAUACGGGUGGACUAGAGGUAGGCAGGGGAGAAUGGAAUUCCCAGUGUAGCGGUGAAAUGCGUAGAUAUUGGGAAGAACACCUGAGGCGAAGGCGGGUUGCUGGGCCGACACUGACGCUGAGGCGCGAAAGCCAGGGGAGCGAACGGG
rnacentral:rRNA from 1 species